UACUACAUUGUUUACCUUUUCUCCUCCUAUAAAGCUGCCUUGUGUAGACAAAAGAGUAGUACGAGAGAUUGCACCUUAUCUCCUUAGUUCCUAUGCAACGAGCGCGCUCAUUCUCUUUCAAAUAACAUUUCGAAGGGACUUACCACUUCUCAAGUUCUGCAAAACCUUUACCUGAUUUUGGGAAAUCUGAAAAAAUGGACAGCCCGAAUAAUGAGACACAGAUCGACAGCAAAAUUGCAAUGCAAAUGAAAGAAGCACUAGAAGUCCAGAGGCGUAUUCACGAGCAACUAGAGAGUCAGCGAAAGUCACAACUGAAGAUCGAAGAACAAGGAAAACAACUGACGAAAAUAUUUGAACAACAACAACAACAAACAACCAGGAGCCCCAUGUAGACGCGAAGUUCAAGCAUUUCAUCGCGAAGAUGAGGAUUUCGCUAUAGAAAGCUUCGAUAAUUUCCAUUUUGCAUCUAAAAUAAGUUACUAUGACAUGUAAACAGC